GCCCUACGGGGUGCAGCAGGCGCGAAAACUUUACAAUGCUGGCAACAGCGAUAAGGGAACCUCGAGUGCCAGGUUACAAAUCUGGCUGUCGAGAUGCCUAAAAAGCAUUUCAUAGCAAGGGCCGGGCAAGACCGGUGCCAGCCGCCGCGGUAACACCGGCGGCUCGAGUGGUAACCGUUAUUAUUGGGUCUAAAGGGUCUGUAGCCGGCCGGAUAAGUCUCUUGAGAAAUCUGGCAGCUUAACUGUCAGGCUUCCAGGAGAUACUGUCUGGCUCGAGGCCGGGAGAGGUGAGAGGUACUUCAGGGGUAGGGGUGAAAUCUUGUAAUCCUUGAAGGACCACCAGUGGCGAAGGCGUCUCACCAGAACGGACCUGACGGCAAGGGACGAAAGCUAGGGGCACGAACCGGAUUAGAUACCCGGGUAGUCCUAGCCGUAAACGAUACUCGCUAGGUGUCGGCCACGGUGCGACCGUUGUCGGUGCCGUAGGGAAGCCGUGAAGCGAGCCACCUGGGAAGUACGGCCGCAAGGCUGAAACUUAAAGGAAUUGGCGGGGGAGCACCACAACGGGUGGAGCUUGCGGUUUAAUUGGAUUCAACGCCGGAAAUCUUAC
rnacentral:rRNA from 1 species